rnacentral:misc_RNA from 1 species
UGAGCAGCCAGAAUCUUUAACGACAACUAUGCGAGGGAGACUUAUACGUGCAGGAUCAUGUAAACCAAAGACUGUGCUUUUGGGGGGCCUGAAGGAUCACCUCAAAACCAUAAGAAGAAGCAGGAGAAUUGUUUUUGUUGGGUGUGGCACAAGUUACAAUGCAGCUCUUGCUGCAAGAUCCAUUGUAGAAGAGCUUUCUGGUAUUCCUGUAACCAUGGAGAUUGCCAGUGAUUUAGUGGACAGACAAGGGCCAAUAUAUCGAGAAGAUACAGCUGUCUUCGUUAGUCAAUCAGGAGAAACUGCUGACACUUUGCUUGCAUUAGAGUAUGCUCUGGAAAACGGCGCAUUAUGUGUUGGCAUUACAAAUACUGUUGGUAGUGCAAUUGCUAGGCUCACUCACUGUGGCGUUCACAUAAAUG